rnacentral:rRNA from 1 species
CAAUAGCGUAUAUUAAUGUUGCUGUAGUUAAAAAGCUCGUAGUUGGAUUUUUAUGGUCUGAGUGCAUGGCGGCUGUGAUUGCUACGGUAGUUGCAGUUGGUCUGGUGGGAGCUUCUGAUGCCAUGUGUGUCGUUGCUGCUCACCCGCUUGGACAUACACGUUGCGAACUGUAAGCCUAGGCGGGCUUGCGUGCUUAACUGUGCGCGGGUGUUGUCGUUCUCAGCAAUGGGAGGGUUUUAGUUCCGUUUACUUUGAACAAAAUAGAGUGUUUAAAGCAGGCUCGUAUGUUAGCCUUAAUAUCCUAGCAUGGAAUAAAACAGCGCAAGACUUCGGUCUUUGUGCCGUGCGGUGUCAAAGUCGUGCGGUGCAGGUUUGUUGGUUUUAAGACCAGAAGUUAAGGAUUAAAAGGAACAGUUGGGGGCUUUUGUAUUUCAAAGUCAGAGGUGAAAUUCUUGGAUUUUUGAAAGACAAACAUAUGCGAAAGCAUCAGUCUAAGAUGUUUUCAUUAA